GACGAACGCUGGCGGCGUGGAUUAGGCAUGCAAGUCGAACGGUGUCAUCCUUUCGGGGGUGAGAGAGUGGCGAACUGGUGAGUAACACGUAGGUUAUCUACCCUCAAGACGGGGACAACCCAGGGAAACUUGGGCUAAUACCGGAUGUGAGCAACUUUUAGUUGUUUGAAAGGUGGCGUAAGCUGUCGCUUGGGGAUGAGCCUGCGUCCUAUUAGUUAGUUGGUGAGGUAACGGCUCACCUAGGCAAUGAUAGGUAGGCGGCCUUAACGGGUGGUCGCCCACACUGGGAUUGAGAUACGGCCCAGACUCCUACGGGAGGCAGCAGUCGAGAAUAGUCUACAAUGGUCGGAAGACUGAUAGUGCGACGCCGCGUGAACGAUGAAUCCCUUCGGGGUGUAAAGUUCUUUUAUAUGUGAGCAGUGCUUCUUAUAUUAACAGUAUGGGGAGAGAGAUAUUAGCAUAUGAAUAAGCAACGGCUAACUCCGUGCCAGCAGCCGCGGUAAACUCGU
rnacentral:rRNA from 1 species